CAUCUACUCCCUCCGUUUCGAAUUACUUGUCGCAGAUAUGGAUGUAUCUAGAUGUAUUCCAGUUUUAGAUACAUCCAUUUCUGCGACAAGUAAUUUGGAACGGAGGGAGUACUAU
rfam:Triticum aestivum genome assembly, contig: Triticum_aestivum_CS42_TGACv1_scaffold_290488_4AL